CGUUAGCAAAAUUCUUCCUUUUCACUCCUGCAACUUUAGGCUCUGCUGGACUAGAGGGCUUAGUUCCAAAAAAGGAAUGCUUACACCAAAAGACACAACAAUGAUUCCAUUAAAGUGGAAGUUGACGCUGCCACCUGGCUACUUUGGCCUUCUCAUGAUUCUGAAUUGACAAGCCAAGAAGAGGGUUACUGUACUGAAUGAGUGAUUGGCCCUGAUUACCAAGAGGAAAUUGGGUUGCUACUACACAAUGGACAUAAGGAAGAUUAUCUGUGAAAUACAGGAGAUCCCUUAGGGUGUCUCAGUCCUACCAUGUCCUGUGAUUAAUGUUAAUGGAAAACUACAACCUAGUUCAGGACCUAGUUCACAAUAAGCAACCGAGGAUGCACGGUGACUUGAUUUCACAUGGCCAAGGAUUCUAUCUCCACAGGACCCAGCAGCAUGCCAGGAGCUUAUUUUCAAAAGAAGCUUUUUUAUUAACUCGCUUUUGCUGGCUUUGGUGUAGCAAGAUGCCAUAUUGGAGAAGCUCAAACAGCAAUGAACUGAGGGUGGCCCCUGGCCAACAACCAGCAUGACACUGAUGUCCUCAGUCUAAUAGCCUGUAAGGGAGUAAAUCCUUCAAAUAAUCAUGUGAGCUUGAAAGUGAUCCUUCUCCAGUUGUGCCUUCAGGUAAAUCCUGGCCCAAACCUUGAUAGGCAGCCUUAUGAGAGACCUUGAAGUAAGAGGACCCAUCAAGGCUAUGCUUAGAUCCUGAACCUCAGAAGCUGUGAGAUAAUGACUGUAUGUUGCUCUAAGCUGCUAAGUUUGUGGUAGUU
rnacentral:lncRNA from 1 species